rnacentral:rRNA from 1 species
AUGCUCCUUAUGGAUUCAAUGAGGAAAACCAUUAGCCACUUAUUCAAAUUGGAUGGUGUGGUGCACCUUCAUCUUGCUAUCCAACUUCUUAGCUUAUUUGCUUUAACUUUACUACAGUUAUAUAGCAGGAUAAGGAUCCAAUCUUGUGACGCCACUCCAUUUGCACCAUCAUCAAAAGUUGCACAUGAGUUGAUUCAGACUUUCAGAGUUCAUAGAACACCUAGCAGAGUUAAUCAGCCUGAAGGUAUAUCAGAUCCUAAGGAAAGAGGACCCGGUUCAGAUUUGUCACUACUCUGUGCUGUUGGAUAG